AAACCAUGCAUCAGACAUUUUCUAAUUAAUUCCUUGAAUCGCUCCCAAGUUUCAUACAAUGCCUCAUCUUGAGAUUGCUGAAAAGAGGUAAUAUCAUUCCUUAAUUU
rfam:Gossypium arboreum cultivar AKA8401 contig_37465_3, whole genome shotgun sequence.